rnacentral:rRNA from 1 species
GAUCAUGGCUCAGAACGAACGCUGGCAACGUGGAUUAGGCAUGCAAGUCGAACGAGAUUCCUUGUGAUAGCAAUAUUGUGAGGAUGACAGUGGCGAAAGGGCGAGUAUUAGCGUGGGUAAUCUGCCGUCAAGAUCGGGACAACCCGCCGAAAGGUGGGCUAAUACCGAGUGUGGUCCUCCGGCGCAUGUCGGGGUGAUUAAAGGUGGGGAUCGAAAGACCUGCCGCUUGAUGAGGAACCCGCGUCCCAUCAGCUAGUUGGUGAGGUAACGGCCCACCAAGGCUUACGGGUAGCUGGUCUGAGAGGAUGGUCAGCCGCACUGGGACUGAGACACUGCCCAGACUCCUACGGGAGGCUGCAGUCGAGGAUCUUUUGCAAUGGGCGAAAGCCUGACAAAGCGACGCUGCGUGGAGGAUGAAGGCCUUCGGGUUGUAAACUCCUGUCAUACCGGGAACAAUUGUCGGCGUUAAUAACCGGCCGGACUUGAGGUACCGGAAAAGGAAGCCACGGCUAAUAUAGUGCC